GAACGCGAAGAACCUUACCCACCUUUGACAUGUAUGGAAUUUGCCAGAGAUGGCUUAGUGCUCGAAAGAGAGCCAUAACACAGGUGCUGCAUGGCUGUCGUCAGCUCGUGUCGUGAGAUGUUGGGUUAAGUCCCGCAACGAGCGCAACCCUUGUCAUUAGUUGCUACAUUUAGUUGGGCACUCUAAUGAGACUGCCGGUGACAAACCGGAGGAAGGUGGGGAUGACGUCAAGUCCUCAUGGCCCUUAUAGGUGGGGCUACACACGUCAUACAAUGGCAGGUACAGAGGGUUGCCAACCCGCAAGGGGGAGCUAAUCCCAUAAAGCCAGUCGUAGUCCGGAUCGCAGUCUGCAACUCGACUGCGUGAAGUCGGAAUCGCUAGUAAUCGCGGAUCAGCAUGUCGCGGUGAAUACGUUCCCGGGUCUUGUACACACC
rnacentral:rRNA from 1 species